rnacentral:rRNA from 1 species
UACGGAGGGAGCUAGCGUUGUUCGGAAUUACUGGGCGUAAAGCGCGCGUAGGCGGCUUUGUAAGUUAGAGGUGAAAGCCCGGAGCUCAACUCCGGAACUGCCUUUAAGACUGCAUCGCUUGAAUCCAGGAGAGGUGAGUGGAAUUCCGAGUGUAGAGGUGAAAUUCGUAGAUAUUCGGAAGAACACCAGUGGCGAAGGCGACUGACUGGACAAGUAUUGACGCUGAGGUGCGAAAGCGUGGGGAGCAAACAGG